rnacentral:sRNA from 14 species
CGUAAAAAGAAAAAGUACAAAAAUAAAUGAAAAUGAAAUAGAAUCUCGUCUAUGAUCUGAUUGAAUGAACAUAUCAAUCUUCCGCGUUAUACAAUACAUCAUUUUGCUUCGAUGAUUACGGCGGCAAUAAUCAAUAUA